rnacentral:tRNA from 1 species
GGGCUGGGGCUCAGCGGCAGAGCGCUCGCCUAGCAUGUGCGAGGCCCUGGGUUUGAUCCUCAGCACCACA